AGAGUUUGAUCCUGGCUCAGGAUGAACGCUGGCGGCGUGCUUAACACAUGCAAGUCGAACGAACCUUCGGGUUAGUGGCGGACGGGUGAGUAACGCGUGAGAAUCUGCCCUCAGGAGGGGGAUAACGGCUGGAAACGGCCGCUAAUACCCCAUAUGCCGAGAGGUGAAAUGAAUUUCGCCUGAGGAUGAGCUCGCGUCUGAUUAGCUAGUUGGUGUGGUAAAGGCUCACCAAGGCAUCGAUCAGUAGCUGGUCCGAGAGGAUGAUCAGCCACACUGGGACUGAGACACGGCCCAGACUCCUACGGGAGGCAGCAGUGGGGAAUUUUCCGUAAUGGGCGCAGGCCUGACGGAGCAACGCCGCGUGAGGGAUGAAGGCCUCUGGGCUGUAAACCUCUUUUAUCAAGGAAGAAGAUCUGACGGUACUAGAUGAAUAAGCCACGGCUAAUUCCGUGCCAGCAGCCGCGGUAAUACGGGAGUGGCAAGCGUUAUCCGGAAUUAUUGGGCGUAAAGCGUCCGCAGGCGGUCUUGAAAGUCUGUUGUUAAAGCGUGGAGCUCAACUCCAUUUCAGCAAUGGAAACUAGAAGACUAGAGUGUGGUAGGGGCAGAGGGAAUUCCCGGUGUAGCGGUGAAAUGCGUAGAUAUCGGGAAGAACACCAGUGGCGAAGGCGCUCUGCUGGGCCAUAACUGACGCUCAUGGACGAAAGCCAGGGGAGCGAAAGGGAUUAGAUACCCCUGUAGUCCUGGCCGUAAACGAUGAACACUAGGUGUCGGGGGAAUCGACCCCCUCGGUGUCGUAGCCAACGCGUUAAGUGUUCCGCCUGGGGAGUACGCACGCAAGUGUGAAACUCAAAGGAAUUGACGGGGGCCCGCACAAGCGGUGGAGUAUGUGGUUUAAUUCGAUGCAACGCGAAGAACCUUACCAGGGUUUGACAUCCUGCGAAUCCCUUGGAAACUUGGGAGUGCCUUCGGGAGCGCAGUGACAGGUGGUGCAUGGCUGUCGUCAGCUCGUGUCGUGAGAUGUUGGGUUAAGUCCCGCAACGAGCGCAACCCACGUCUUUAGUUGCCAGCAUUAAGUUGGGCACUCUAGAGAGACUGCCGGCGAUAAACCGGAGGAAGGUGUGGAUGACGUCAAGUCAUCAUGCCCCUUACAUCCUGGGCUACACACGUACUACAAUGCUACGGACAAAGGGCAGCAAACUCGCGAGAGCUAGCAAAUCCCAUAAACCGUGGCUCAGUUCAGAUCGUAGGCUGCAACUCGCCUACGUGAAGGAGGAAUCGCUAGUAAUCGCAGGUCAGCAUACUGCGGUGAAUACGUUCCCGGGCCUUGUACACACCGCCCGUCACACCAUGGAAGUUGGCCACGCCCGAAGUCG
rnacentral:rRNA from 1 species